AUUGAACGCUGGCGGCAGGCCUAACACAUGCAAGUCGAACGGCAGCACAGAAGAGCUUGCUCUUAGGGUGGCGAGUGGCGGACGGGUGAGUAAUGUCUGGGAAACUGCCCGAUGGAGGGGGAUAACUACUGGAAACGGUAGCUAAUACCGCAUAACGUCGCAAGACCAAAGUGGGGGACCUUCGGGCCUCCCACCAUCGGAUGUGCCCAGAUGGGAUUAGCUAGUAGGUGGGGUAAUGGCUCACCUAGGCGACGAUCCCUAGCUGGUCUGAGAGGAUGACCAGCCACACUGGAACUGAGACACGGUCCAGACUCCUACGGGAGGCAGCAGUGGGGAAUAUUGCACAAUGGGCGCAAGCCUGAUGCAGCCAUGCCGCGUGUAUGAAGAAGGCCUUCGGGUUGUAAAGUACUUUCAGCGGGGAGGAAGGCGGUGAGGUUAAUAACCUCGCCGAUUGACGUUACCCGCAGAAGAAGCACCGGCUAACUCCGUGCCAGCCGCCGCAGUAA
rnacentral:rRNA from 1 species